rnacentral:misc_RNA from 1 species
GCGACCUAAAGUCAACUCAGCAGCCUGGUCAGUAUCUUCCCUUGCAGCUUUGUAAGCCCUUCGUGCUUCUUCUUCACCAUCUAUACCCUCUUUCUGGACCAUGCUGUUGUACAGGUCUAUCUCUUUCUUUACAAGUUGUAAGAACUCCUCACGUUCUCUGCUGACCGAAGAUGCAGAAGCUAAAACUGCUAAUGCACGGCUGAGUUCACAUAGCUGCUCUUGUUUCUCCAUUGUUUUUG